rnacentral:rRNA from 1 species
UACGAAGGGGGGCUAGCGUUGCUCGGAAUUACUGGGCGUAAAGCGCACGUAGGCGGUCUUUUAAGUCGGGGGUGAAAUCCGUGGAGCUCAACUCCAGAAUUGCCUUUAAGACUGCAUCGCUUGAAUCCAGGAGAGGUGAGUGGAAUUCCGAGUGUAGAGGUGAAAUUCGUAGAUAUUCGGAAGAACACCAGUGGCGAAGGCGGCUCACUGGACUGGUAUUGACGCUGAGGUGCGAAAGCGGUGGGGGAGCAAACAGGG